UAAUACGUAGGAGGCGAGCGUUGUCCGGAAUUACUGGGUGUAAAGCGCGUGUAGGCGGCCUUUCAAGUCGGCGGUGAAAUCCCGCGGCUCAACUGCGGGGGGUCCGUGGAAACUGGGAGGCUGGAGGACGGUAGAGGCGAGUGGAAUUCCCGGUGUAGUGGUGAAAUGCGUAGAGAUCGGGAGGAACACCCGUGGCGAAGGCGGCUCGCUGGGCCGGACCUGACGCUGAGACGCGAAGGCGUGGGGAGCGAACGGGAUUAGAUACCCCGGUAGUCCACGCAGUAAACGAUGCCGACUAGGUGCGGGGGGUAUCGAGCCCCUCCGUGCCGACGCUAACGCAUUAAGUCGGCCACCUGGGGAGUACGGCCGCAAGGUUA
rnacentral:rRNA from 1 species